UACGGUCGCAUCACGUUGAAACACCGGUUCCCGUAAGAUCAGCGAAGUUAAGCAACAUCGAGCCUAGUCAGUACUUAGAGAUGAGACCGCGUGAGAAUAUCAAAUGCUGUAA